CUUAAUCAAUGACGUCACUCACAAUAACUCCAGUCGACGUCAAAGGGCAGCGUGGAGCUGUCACCGCCAAGCCCGCCCGCUACACACGGCGUGUAGGAACCUCGCUCCGCUCCUUACCUACAGGGCACCUGGACGGCGGCGUGAAGUAAAUACAAUAAGCCGGCGAGCGGCGCGGUCACAUGACAGAGUGCGUUAUCUGAGCGUGUGCGUGCGAGGACAGGGUGGCAAAGAAAAUGAGGGUCAUCCUCCACGGGCCGCCUGCCUCCCCGGGGACGGACAGGAACGCUGAUAAAACAAUCACCAUAAAGAGGUUCCAGACUCGCAGCUAAAAAGGCAGAGAGGGCUGGGACUAGUGUGUGUGCGUGCUUUGGCUUCCUCGGUGUCAGCGCGCUCGCUAAGAGCCGCUCGCUCGCCUGACAGCGGCGCGGUCGAUAAAGUGGAUUUGAGAUAUAAAUGUUUCCCAGAGCCCUCUCCAUCACGCCGAGACACCUGCAGGCUGGCGACAUAGCGUCUUUGUCACCGACACAGCAGCUUGUUUGCUCCCACGACAUCAUGAGCAUGUGACCUUUGGACAGUUGCAUAACAAUUAAUACUGUUUUUCUAGCAGUAUUUCAGAGGAAAACUAUUUUUUUUACAAUAUAACUAAAACCAUUCAUACUUACUAAACCGUCACAUGUUUGA